UUAGCUCUCUGGCAGGUAAACCUAUUCAGCAGAAAGUAUGGCAAAACAAAAUACAAUUUUUAAAAAAUCUCACAGGGUGUGCGAGGGUGUACACACAUGCCCCUGAAUGGUAUCACAUUGAUUACUUUUUAUGGGCUUCAAUUUCCCUGGGGGGAUAAUAAGGCAUCUGAUGUACUUCAAUCCAACUGUUUACCCUGGAAGGAGUUAUAAUGGUAUUGUACAGUAUAUUAUGACUCCAGUCAGACACAAAACAUACUGCUCUGGCAGUGGAUGUAAAUAUAAUUAGGGGGUUUAGUGUAAAUGAGAAUAAGGACCAUACUGUUUUAAACAUCUGCUGACUAGGAACUAUGAUAUCAGUCGAGCUAAGCUAUGCUGUGGGUUAGAGGGAAGGGCCACACACGUCCUAUUAGAUGCUUAAGGAUGUGUCCUAUUUUUCUGAGGCAUCAGUUUAAUAAUAGAGGCUCUUAAAGCACUUGACAAACAUUAAUUAUGCCUUACACAUUACUGCUGUAAGUGACACACAUCUGGUUAACCAGGGUAAUCUGGUGAAGGAAAAGUCACAGUUUCUAUUCCCUUGAGCAAUGUUUACUGGCACCCUGGCUCCUGCCCUAGUCACAUCACCACACGUACCCUCAUUCAUUCUUCCCAUUUAGGCUGUGUCAGGUUAAAACAUGAUUGUACCUGAUGUUCUAACUGUUUCUGCCGCCUCCUGUCUCUUUCCUCAAUUUGUGCAGGAUCCAAGAGAGCUGUCAUUGACCGUAGAAAACUAUGAAGAGAAUCAUUUACAUGUUUUUCCAUUAAAAAAAAAUUCCAGAGUUUUAUUUAAUCUGAAAUAUCAACAAGAUUUAAAUUAGGGAACCAUACAAAUUCCUGAAGAGAGGAGUAAAUACCAAAUUCAGAGACUUAUUAACUUCUAAAGACAUUCCAGAAAUGAAUUGAUUGGGAAGACUACUGUAAUUGAGACAUGCACUCACCUGGCUUUUUGACUUUGUUCCGAAGUAGGGUUCUCAACAGUUUUUUCUACAUUCUCCACCUUUGAAUGUAU